AACGCACAUUGCGCCCGCCAGUAUUCUGGCGGGCAUGCCUGUUCGAGCGUCAUUUCAACCCUCAAGCCCAGCUUGGUGUUGGGGCGCUGCGGCUUGCCGCAGGCCCUGAAAAGCGUUGGCGGGCUCGCUAUAACUCCGAGCGUAGUAAUGUAUCUCGCUAUGGAAGUGUGGCGGGUUCCGGCCGUUAAACCCCCAUAUUUUUCAAGGUUGACCUCGGAUCAGGUAGGAAUACCCGCUGAACUUAA
rnacentral:misc_RNA from 1 species